GCCGGGUGUUGCGGCGCACACCUGUAAUCCCAGCUACUCGGGAGGCUGAGGCAGGAGGAUCACUUGAACCUGGGUGGCGAAGGUUGCAGUGAGCUGAGAUCAUGUCACUGCACUCCAUCCUGGGCAACAGAGUGAGAUUCUGUCUCUG
rnacentral:SRP_RNA from 1 species